GAUCAUGGCUCAGGAUGAACGCUAGCUACAGGCUUAACACAUGCAAGUCGAGGGGAAACGACAUCGAAAGCUUGCUUUUGGUGGGCGUCGACCGGCGCACGGGUGAGUAACGCGUAUCCAACCUGCCCAUCACUUGGGAAUAACCUUGCGAAAGUAAGACUAAUGCCCAAUGAUAUCCCACGAAGGCAUCCGAAUGGGGAUUAAAGAUUUAUCGGUGAUGGAUGGGGAUGCGUCUGAUUAG
rnacentral:rRNA from 1 species